CAUGGUCGACCAAAGAAGUUUAGUGCACGUGCUCAGCGUCAAAUCCAGAGGUUAUAUUUUGGAAAUAGACAUAUGAGUGAUGCCAGCAUUGCUGCAGAGGUUGAAGGGGUGGGUGUUCAGCCUGUUUAUUC